AGAGUUUGAUCAUGGCUCAGAACGAACGCUGGCGGCAGGCCUAACACAUGCAAGUCGAGCGCUCUCUUCGGAGGGAGCGGCGGACGGGUGAGUAACGCGUGGGAACGUGCCCUUCUCUAUGGAAUAGCCACUGGAAACGGUGAGUAAUACCAUAUACGCCCUUCGGGGGAAAGAUUUAUCGGAGAAGGAUCGGCCCGCGUUAGAUUAGGUAGUUGGUGGGGUAAUGGCCUACCAAGCCUACGAUCUAUAGCUGGUUUUAGAGGAUGAUCAGCCACACUGGGACUGAGACACGGCCCAGACUCCUACGGGAGGCAGCAGUGGGGAAUCUUAGACAAUGGGCGCAAGCCUGAUCUAGCCAUGCCGCGUGAGUGAUGAAGGCCUUAGGGUCGUAAAGCUCUUUCGCCAGAGAUGAUAAUGACAGUAUCUGGUAAAGAAACCCCGGCUAACUCCGUGCCAGCAGCCGCGGUAAUACGGAGGGGGUUAGCGUUGUUCGGAAUUACUGGGCGUAAAGCGCACGUAGGCGGAUUAGAAAGUUGGGGGUGAAAUCCCGGGGCUCAACCUCGAACGGCCUCCAAAACUCCUAGUCUAGAGUUCGAGAGAGGUGAGUGGAAUUCC
rnacentral:rRNA from 1 species